rnacentral:rRNA from 1 species
AUUGAACGCUGGCGGCAUGCCUUACACAUGCAAGUCGAACGGCAGCACGGGUGCUUGCACCUGGUGGCGAGUGGCGAACGGGUGAGUAAUAUAUCGGAACGUACCUUAUUGUGGGGGAUAACGCAGCGAAAGCUGUGCUAAUACCGCAUAAUCCCUAAGGGGGAAAGCGGGGGACCGUAAGGCCUCGCGCAAUUAGAGCGGCCGAUACCUGAUUAGCUAGUUGGUGAGGUAAAGGCUCACCAAGGCAACGAUCAGUAGCUGGUCUGAGAGGACGAUCAGCCACACGGGGACUGAGGCACGGCCCAGACUCCUACGGGAGGCAGCAGUGGGGAAUUUUGGACAAUGGGGGCAACCCUGAUCCAGCAAUGCCGCGUGAGUGAAGAAGGCCUUCGGGUUGUAAAGCUCUUUUGUCAGGGAAGAAACAGCAGCUCUAACACAGUUUGCGAAUGACGGUACCUGAAGAAUAAGCACCGGCUAACUACGUGCCAGCAGCCGCGGUAA